AUUGCCAGGGCCGAAUUUUGCUCCCAGUCCGACCCUGACGUCAGAUGUUUUUAAUUUUUGACGGAUCAAAACGAAAAUCAAUGGUUUUAAUGGUAUUAAUUAGUUAUUUUAUAUCAAAGAUCAACCCAGAAGUGAAAACCAACUUGAAGCCAGUGCUCAACGUUAUACUUUUCACCACGAAGCUCCGAUCAACCCAGAAGUCAAAACCGACGUGAAGCCAGUGCUCAACGUUAUGCUUUUCACCACGAAGCUCCGAUUGGUUUUUUUAUUGACUCCCGACCAGAACCGAUUCUGAACCGUGCGGUUCAGUGGCGAGCCAACCCGAGAUCUGAAGAUUGUAGACAGACCCCUACCCACCGGUGUGGCCAGCCGGAGAGCGAGGAUUUGCCUACAAAGAUUGAAUUGACUGACUUGACUGACUGACCACCAAAUCUCAACCGGAUUCCAGAUAAGAUCUUUUAAGAUUGUGCAUACUGAAAGAGACACUGAUUCACACAUUCAAGAACUUUCAUACACACACACACAUAUACAUACAUAUUUUAUUUAUUUUGUUUUUUGGGGAAGAGCUCUUUGGGUGGUUUAAUUUUAUAUUACUGUCUGCACUUUAUAUUGCUCUGAUCUGUAGACAAUAAAAUUGUCACCUGUUCAAUUGUAACCA